GCGAGACCUGCAUUAAAAGGAUCUUCCAUUCAACACAAUGUCUUCGUCAUGUAUGAAGAAAAGCAUUAGCAAUUAACACAAGGGCCAAGCAAUUUGUAUUACUUCAGUUUGAAUUUUUCUGUUUUAUGCUUCGAACCACAAGGAUUCGAGGAUCGAGUUGAUUGCCCAGGAGUUAACUCGAGGAUACAAUCACAGAAGAAGAAGAAGAAGAAGAAACAAAGAGAGAGAAGGAAUUGGGUUUAUUUCAUAUCAUGCUGUAAUUGAGUGAUUACAUCAACUAUUAAUAGAAAAUAGAAGUUGAUCAGUUAUUCUAACUAACUGAACAGUUGUAGCUAA